GACAGAGGGUGCGAACGUUGCUCGGAAUCACUGGGCGUAAAGCGCGUGUAGGCGGGUCGGUAAGUCAGGUGUGAAAUCCCUGGGCUCAACCCAGGAACUGCAUUUGAAACUGCCGGUCUUGAGUGGUGGAGAGGAAAGUGGAAUUCCUGGUGGAGAGGUGAAAUUCGUAGAUAUCAGGAGGAACACCUGUAGCGAAGGCGGCUUUCUGGACACUAACUGACGCUGAGACGCGAAAGCGUGGGGAGCAAACAGG
rnacentral:rRNA from 1 species